UGUUUUUUUUUGGGGGGGGGGGGAGUAGGAACUGUAUAUUAAAAAAGGAUUGUCAUCAAAGGAAGAACCAUGAAAUGGAGGACAGUUUGAGGAAGAAGAAAAAUACUAAAUAAGAGGAGGAAGGCAGCUGAUCACUUCUCAGUUGUUGAGUUUCUAAAAUGUCCCUUUCUGKCCAAGAAGAGGAACAACCUUAGGACACAAUUCACCCAGAGCUCCCUACUGGAUUCACUGUAGGCUGAAGGGAUACGUAACCGGAGAGAGAGAGAGAGAGAAAAAAAAGGAGAGAGAGCGAGAGAACGAAAGAAAGAAAGAGAGAACUGAAGGCGAUGAUGAGCGGAUGAUAGAAGACAAAGAGAGUCAAAAAGAUUUGUUCAUCCCUCCACACCAGAAGCAUCCUUCGUUCCUGUGGACUMCUCAAUCAGCACCAUCCCUUAGAAARCAAACUCCAGACCAACGUGACAGACUUACAGUGACUCUGAGUACCUGGAAAAGCAUCACACUGAAACACAUACCUUAUGUCAGCAUACUUUACAGAGUCUUAUUAUACUAAGUCAUUGACAUUGAAAUCCCAGACAAACAAUAAAAGAAACAAACAAUAGAACAGAAUGCCCCUAGGAAAGAGCCAAAGGGUUAUGGGAUAGUAGGACAAUGUUCCACAACUUGGUUGUCAUCCUACUGUGUCAUAGACAAUGUAUGCUUUUACCCACUGUCAAAUGUUCCCUUAGACAAAUUACAUCUUACCGGCUCUCAGAUAYAGUAUAUUCAAUUGUUUUUAAAUCUUCCUAUUUAGUACUUCAAAGAUCGGACAUACAGUAGGGUAGGCUAUWUAAACAAACUACUGCASUGGUCUGAGAUUACUCAACAUAGUCAGCGUGGAUGUGACUACAGAAAAGGAGAGCCAGGUGCUAGCCAAUGGCAAAAUACAUUUACAUAACAGUAAUUCUACUGUUUUACAGCCAAACACUAUGCAAAGCUAUGAGGCUGAACAACCAUUGCGUCCAGUGACUCUUGAGUCAGCCCACUAUGGUGACACUACCUUCUUAUGUUCAGUCAGUCACACUUGUUGGACUGUUUUCAUUGAUUGACAGCCCUCCUCUUACCUCUCACAAGAGACACACUUCAGAAGAUGCUGAAUUAUGGGCCCCAAUAGUAGAGCAACCAGGCAUAUAGUAUACCAGGCCAUUGGCCAUUUCAUAUAAACCUGUGCGUAGAUCUGAAAUACGAUACACUCCCUGACUGACUGAUGCUGACUCGUGUUGCAUGAGAGUGUGUCGGCUGACCCUAACAGAUCUACUCAUCGACCACUUUGAAGGAUUUGGACCUAAAGAAAACCAGUGUGUGUGUGCGUGUGCGCGUGUGUGUGCUGAAGAGUUGAGGAGGACGCCAAAGGAGAGACACUGGAAGCAUGACCGCAACGCGCAUGCCAAGAACGGAAGCGACUGCUGGAAAACAAGGACAUACMWUGCCCUCACUUUCUCGCUCUCAAUCUCUCCCUCUCUUUAUCUCCACCCCUCUGCAUCUCAGCAUUGCUCCUCCUCCGUAGCAAACUGCAUGGCAUGAUCGAAAAAACCUGAAGAACGAAACGUAGAGGACAAAAGGAUGGAGAGAGAGACCAGAGAGACUUUAUUUUUYAAACCAAACAAUCAUUGUCACAUCAACCUUUUUCAAAAAUAUCCAAUUGGUAACUAUUUGCAAGUGUCAAGAUAACAAAUGGUCAACUGCUCGUUGAGAGAGUGGCUACUGUAAAGGUCUCUCUCCUUUCUGUAGAAAGGAGGAUGAUCAAAGAGCACUGCACCUCUGGGGGGGAUCAGAAAGGUUCACAAGGAAGUGCGAGAAAAUAGCGGGAACAGGGUGAACUUUGAUAAACAAUUCCGGGAAAAAAGUGAAAAUGCAUUUUUAUUACUUUGUUUACCAGCAUGACUAUUCUGCAUGAGUCUACUUCUGCAAGCCCUCACCCCACCCCCUCCGUAAAAAAAGAGGGCUAGGAAUUGAAAAAAUGAACAAAAUCGAGAGGAAACAAAAAAUAUUUAUGUUAUAUGCAACUAAUAAAAAAUAAAAAAGAGCAGGAUUAUAUUAAAAAAAAGAUCUAUAUUUUGUUUUGGGAUAAUAAAAAAGGAAUAACGAAAAAAAAAAWAGGAUUGCAAGAUACACAUUGAACAAUGUUUUCUUAGAUAAAUAAGAUACAAACACCACCAAAUCUACCAGAGAUGAACUAUGCGAUGAACGUCCCCUGAUACUACAACUACUCUACUACUACUUUGAUGACUACUCUUCUUGUGCUCUGCUACUUCUUCGUCUACUGCUCUCACGCUCUGGUCCUACCGCCCUGUUGCGUCCCCUGCUGCCAAUUCUCUGUCUUCCACCCCACUGUCCAUCCAGGUCCCCUCUCCACUGUCUGUCUGUAUAACUAUGUUUAGUUGGACUGUACUCAGAUCCGAUGGGUCAUAUUCACUAGGAUCCAAACGGAAGCAAACAGCUCGGAACGGGAGGGACUAUCCCUGAACUUGUCUAACACGUUUUCCGCUGCAAAGCUGUUUGCUACGGUGUGCACUAAUGAAUACGACCAUGAUGGACUCUGUUGUUGUUCUUUCAUUCUCGUGCUCAAGGUGGGAGAUGGCAGCUUCACCACCAGGACGCGGUUGUAGACUCUAUAAGGUCUCGGCUAACUAAAGCAGUGUAGCGAUACCUAGCGGAGAUCAGACCUCACACCGUCCCCAGGCUAAUUGCCUACAGCGCAUUGGGAGAAAGUAUCUGAUCAAGUGAACGAGAUUCGCGAUGACCUAAUACAAGAAAUUACAUCGAUUGGAUCGUGUAGCCCAAUAAUACUGUAGCUCUGACCCUGUACUGUAGCUAGCUAGCACCUGUAGCACUGCACUGACUGGCCAGAUAGUGUCAUAUUAGCUCAGCUCUGAUAUUGUAGCUAUACGAUGCAUAGCUUUGUACUGCUAUGACAUAAUGUACUGUAGGCCUAUCUCCAUGAUUAUAGGGAUGUGCAUAACGUGUCGUUGUGGCAUUUAACAAGCUSGCUAACUCUACAGCCCUUGUGACSGUCAACAGUGUUUGUUUUACACAUACUGGUGACCCCGGCGUUGGUGARGCAGCCAUCUUUGCUCCAUUUCCUCAGGUGGGGAUAGCAUAUUUCCAGGAAAACAGCUGUUCAAAUAUGCAUGAAGGGAACGCCGAACGGUCUAUCUAUGCUAUCAUAUUGAGCUUAUCUAGAUAAAUUGUUGUUGUUUCUGUUGAUGAACAAAAGCUCAUGUUGACCUUCCACCACCACGGCCUGUUUUGCAGUAUGGCUGGAUGCAUCGCACCAGGCACCUCACCACACUCAACAACAGAUUUUUUUGUUUUAUUUCCCCCUGUUUUCCAUGUUUAUUUUCAAGUGAAAACUAAUGUUGCUAUGUUCAGUUUCUAGGCCUGUAUGUAUAGGUCAUWUCUCGCCAGUCACCGCAAACCCUUAGCUAGGCCUACAUCAGAGUUUAGAUAAUAUGCUGCUGAUGUAGCCUACUCUUUGUCGCCCUCUACUGGGCUCCAGUGCAUUGCGCGGGAUGUAGUUUAUCCCCCCCAGUGAAGAGUGUCAUCUGAGCCGUGGUUAGUCUCUGGUGACACUCUGGUCUAGCCGAGUGUUCCAGCAGAGCAGGAUUCAUCUCAAGAGUGGUAUUUAAUGUUACAUGGAGGAGGAGGCGUGUUAAUUAUGUUUGGGGGUGGGGGGUUAAAAUGACAUCACAGACCGUGUCAAAUACAAUUUGGGUCACAUUCAUUUGCAUAUUGCUAGUUUAUAUUUUUGUCUUAAAUGAGUGUUCACUUGCCAAAACUGUUGCUUUGUUUUUGUUUGUUUAUUUGUUAUUACGCAAUGAUGAAGAUUUUGAUGAUGUUCCAGAGAUGCUGGGGGCUAACUGUACUGAGAACUGAGCAACUACCUAUGCAAGAGUUUGACUGUAGCAUAUGAUUAUACUUCAGUGUUUCAUUGUGCCAAAGGAGUUCAGUGUGUUGGGUCUGUCUGUUGUGUGGCAGUGCAAGAAUGGGGCAGGGUAAUGGUGGAAAAAAAGGGGCAGCUACUAUAUCUAGCAUGGUGCAUUGUUUACUGAAGUAAAUGGGGGUGUGGGGGUUAAAGUAAUUAGAAUAGGGGCUCCACUGAAGACCCUGGAGUUAGCCACUCACGGUUAUGUCCCUGUUCUCGCAGUUUUCAUUUGAUACACUGGAUCUCUGUCAUUCAUCACCUUGUCUGAUUCCUCCACCUUUUCCUUCUCCUCGACCCCCAUCCCUUUCAUAUUCAUUCCCUCUCUCCCUCUUUCAACUCCUGCCUACUCCUUCUUUCACUCUCUCCCUUUCCAAAAAAGUUUAUUAUGGCACUAUGUUUGUUACCAAAAGAAUGAUUUGAAAUGAUAGAGACAUAAGUAAUCAUAGAUUAUGGAAGGAUGCAUCACUACUAGACGUUUCAUUCUGAAGAUGUAAAUUAUUGUUUGUGGGGUAGAGAAGGAGAGGGAUCGGGUGCAAGGUGGAUGGGAAGAAGAGGGGAAGGGCACAACUGGCUUAGGUACAGCUAAAGACAGAGGUGAAUGGAUCAUACCCCCCCCCAUCAUCCUUCUGGUAGCACAACCCACACAGACCGUUCCAUUUAAAAUGCCGGGGGGGGGGGGGUAUAUUGUCAGAGCAAUAAUUUCUUCCAAACCCUCAAUUUUGUGGGGGAGUCCAAUGCCAUUUACCUAAACUUACUGUCAAAGUAACCUUACCACCUC